GACCUGUUGGGUCUCUUAGUGUGUCCCUAUAGCCUAGCUAUUCAGGAACAGACUAAGAACUAUUUCAGUGGACUAUUAGGGCCUGGCAUACAUUAAAAGCAUAGUUAUUAUGUUGUCUGGGAGUUUAUAAUCAUUGCAGUUGUCAUCGUAAAUCACUAAAAUUGAGAGGAAUUUCAAAAUAUAUAUCAUAAGCUAUUCAAAAGGGGCCGUUUUUUAUUUGUUUUUAGAUAUACAUGACAGUAGGGUUAGGGUUAGGGUUUGACAUACAUACAUGUGGUGCAACCCAUUACAAUUUUGAUCCUAUUCUUGUGGGUGAACAUGAUGAGGAGUUAUACUGGUUGUGUAUUCAUGGGCAUAGAAAAGUUAUGUCUGAUUCAUUCUAUUGUCUUCCCUGUUCUUAUCUCCCCUCCCCUCCCUUUGUUCUCAUUUAUCUAAUUUAAUGAAUUUCUAUACUUCCCCUCCCCCCUCUCUUGUUAUGGGUUAGCAUCCACAUAUCGAGAGAACAUGUGACCUUUGGUUUUUUGAAAUUGGCUUAGUUCACUUAGCAUGACCAGUUGUAUCCAUUUACUGUCAAAUGCGAUGAUUUCAUUCUUUAUAGCUGAGUAAUAUUCCACUAUGUAUGUAUACCACAUUUUCUUUAUUCAUUCAUUGGUUGAGAGGCACCUAGGUUGGUUCCAAAGCUUGGCUAUUGUGAAUUAAGCUGCUAUAAACAAUGAUGUGGCUGUGUCACUGUAGUAUGCUGAUUUUAAGUCCUUUGGGUAUAAGCCAAGGAGUAGGAUAGCUGGGUCAAAUGGUGGUUCCAUUUCAGAUUUUCUAAGGAAUCUCCAUACUGCUUUCCAGAGUGGUUGAUCCAGUUUGCAGUGAGGUG
rnacentral:lncRNA from 1 species